rnacentral:rRNA from 1 species
UACGGAGGGUGCAAACGUUGCUCGGAAUCAUUGGGCGUAAAGCGCACGUAGGCGGCUCGUUAAGUCGGAUGUGAAAGCCCAGGGCUUAACCCUGGAAGUGCCCCGGAAACGGUGAGACUGGAGUCCUGGAGAGGGUCGUGGAAUUCCCGGUGUAGCGGUGAAAUGCGUAGAGAUCGGGAGGAACACCAGAGGCGAAGGCGGCGACCUGGACAGGUACUGACACUCAACUACGAAAGCGUGGGGAGCAAACAGG